GCGAGCGUGACGGCGCGAGCAGGUGCGAAAGCAGGUCAUAGUGAUCCGGUGGUUCUGAAUGGAAGGGCCAUCGCUCAACGGAUAAAAGGUACUCCGGGGAUAACAGGCUGAUACCGCCCAAGAGUUCAUAUCGACGGCGGGGUUUGGCACCUCGAUGUCGGCUCAUCACAUCCUGGGGCUGAAGUAGGUCCCAAGGGUAUGGCUGUUCGCCAUUUAAAGUGGUACGCGAGCUGGGUUUAGAACGUCGUGAGACAGUUCGGUCCCUAUCUGCCGUGGGCGCUGGAGAAUUGAGGGGGGCUGCUCCUAGUACGAGAGGACCGGAGUGGACGCAUCACUGGUGUUCGGGUUGUCAUGCCAAUGGCACUGCCCGGUAGCUAAAUGCGGAAGAGAUAAGUGCUGAAAGCAUCUAAGCACGAAACUUGCCCCGAGAUGAGUUCUCCCUGAGACUUUAAGUCUCCUGAAGGAACGUUAAAGACGAUGACGUUGAUAGGCCGGGUGUGUAAGCGCAGCGAU
rnacentral:rRNA from 1 species